rnacentral:rRNA from 1 species
CAGGCUUAACACAUGCAAGUCGAGGGGCAGCACGGUCUUAGCUUGCUAAGGCCGAUGGCGACCGGCGCACGGGUGAGUAACACGUAUCCAACCUGCCGUCUACUCUUGGACAGCCUUCUGAAAGGAAGAUUAAUACAAGAUGGCAUCAUGAGUCCGCAUGUUCACAUGAUUAAAGGUAUUCCGGUAGACGAUGGGGAUGCGUUCCAUUAGAUAGUAGGCGGGGUAACGGCCCACCUAGUCUUCGAUGGAUAGGGGUUCUGAGAGGAAGGUCCCCCACAUUGGAACUGAGACACGGUCCAAACUCCUACGGGAGGCAGCAGUGAGGAAUAUUGGUCAAUGGGCGAGAGCCUGAACCAGCCAAGUAGCGUGAAGGAUGACUGCCCUAUGGGUUGUAAACUUCUUUUAUAAAGGAAUAAAGUCGGGUAUGGAUACCCGUUUGCAUGUACUUUAUGAAUAAGGAUCGGCUAACUCCGUGCCAGCAGCCGCGGUAAUACGGAGGAUCCGAGCGUUAUCCGGAUUUAUUGGGUUUAAAGGGAGCGUAGAUGGAUGUUUAAGUCAGUUGUGAAAGUUUGCGGCUCAACCGUAAAAUUGCAGUUGAUACCGGAUAUCUUGAGUGCAGUUGAGGCAGGCGGAAUUCGUGGUGUAGCGGUGAAAUGCUUAGAUAUCACGAAGAA